AAUCGUCUACCAUCCUCGCCAGUGGCGAACGA
rnacentral:sRNA from 1 species